rnacentral:rRNA from 1 species
CGCCUCUUGAAACUACAUAAGAGGUCCAGCCUGCCCAGUGACUAAGUUCAACGGCCGCGGUAUCCUAACCGUGCGAAGGUAGCGUAAUCACUUGUUCUUUAAAUGAGGACUAGUAUGAAUGGCACCACGAGGGUUAUGCUGUCUCCUUUUUCUAAUCAAUGAAACUGAUCUCCCCGUGAAGAAGCGGGGAUAUACCUAUAAGACGAGAAGACCCUAUGGAGCUUUAAACCAUGUAACACUGGCUUUAACAUUAAAAUAUUCCAGAAUUUUCAUAACUACUCUAGCUAUUAUGAUUACUAGUUUUAGGUUGGGGUGACCGCGGAGCAAAAAUUAACCUCCAUGUUGAACGGAGCUACUCCUGAGCCAAAAGCCACGACUUUAAGCACUAAUAAAUUAACAUCAAUUGACCCAAUAUUUUUGAUCAACGAACCAAGUUACCCUAGGGAUAACAGCGCA